AUUGAACGCUGGCGGCAGGCCUAACACAUGCAAGUCGAGCGAGCGGCGGACGGGUGAGUAAUGUCUGGGAAACUUCCUGAUGGAGGGGGAUAACUACUGGAAACGGUAGCUAAUACCGCAAACCAUCAGAUGUGCUCAGAUUGGAUUAGCUGGGGGGUGGGGUAACGGCUCACCUGGGCGACGAUCCCUCGCUGGGCUGAGAGGAUGACCAGCCAAACUGGGACUGGGACACGGUCCAGACUCCUACGGGAGGAAGCCGGGGGGAAUAUGGCAAAAUGGGGGCAAGCCUGAUGCAGCCAUGCCGCGUGUGUGAAGAAGGCAUUCGGGUUGUAAAGCUCUUUCAGCGGGGAGGCGGUACCCGCAGAAGAAGCACCGGCUAACUACGUGCCAGCCGCCGCGGUAAUUC
rnacentral:rRNA from 1 species